rnacentral:rRNA from 1 species
AUGGUUGUCGUCAGCUCGUGUCGUGAGAUGUUGGGUUAAGUCCCGCAACGAGCGCAACCCCUACGUUAGUUGCUAACGCGUGAAGGCGAGCACUCUAGACGAACUGCCGUUGACAAAACGGAGGAAGGUGGGAUGACGUCAAAUCAUCAUGCCCCUUAUGUUCUGGGCUACACACGUGCUACAAUGGCCGGUACAGACGGACGCAAAGCCGCGAGGUGGAGCAAAUCCUAAAAAGCCGGUCUCAGUUCGGAUUGCAGGCUGCAAUUCGCCUGCAUGAAGUCGGAAUCGCUAGUAAUCGCAGGUCAGCAUACUGCGGUGAAUACGUUCCCGGGCCUU